CGUUUUAGCCGCCACCGGAAAAGUGACGUCUCUCACAAAAUCAAAUAUGAGUGAUUUUAUUGUCCUAAAAUAAAUAAAAGUAACUUUAGUAGGUAAUUCACAAAUACUUGGAUGACCAUAAUAAUACUUAAGGAAUUAACUCUUUACAUAUGCUAUGUAGCACCCUAAUACUUUCCAUAGAAUUAGGAUCUGCAAUCUUGGGGUUGACUUUUUCUCUCCCUUGUUUUCUCCUUCCCAUCUUAUGUUAAUCAUUCUGAGGGAAUGGUGAAUGAUGUCAAGAACAGUACUUCAACUAACAAGAAAAAUCCAAAACUAACUUUAUUACCUCUUAUUGCUUUGAUUUUCUAUGAAGUAUCAGGGGGCCCUUUUGGUGUAGAAGAUUCAGUUAAAGCAGGGGGAGGCCCUUUGUUAGCUUUGCUUGGUUUCGUGAUUUUCGCUUUAAUUUGGAGCAUACCUGAAGCACUAAUCACAGCUGAGUUAGCCACAAGUUUCCCUGAAAAUGGUGGCUAUGUCAUUUGGAUAUCUUCAGCUUUUGGCCCUUUCUGGGGAUUUCAAGAAGGCUUUUGGAAAUGGUUUAGUGGUGUCAUGGAUAAUGCUCUUUACCCUGUAUUGUUCCUUGAUUACUUGAAGCAUUCGUUGCCCGUUUUUAAUCACUUGGUUGCGAGAAUUCCAGCCCUGUUAGGAAUUACUGUCUCUUUGACAUACUUGAAUUAUAGAGGCCUCCAUAUUGUUGGUUCUUCAGCUGUUUUGCUUGCAAGUUUUUCUCUUUUUCCGUUUGUUGUAAUGGCGAUUCUCUCGAUUCCUAGGAUCAGACCACGACAGUGGAUUGUUGUGGAUUUCAACAAGGUUGAAUGGAGAGGGUACUUUAAUACCAUGUUUUGGAAUCUUAAUUACUGGGAUAAGGUCAGUACUUUAGCAGGAGAGGUUGAAGACCCUAGUAGAACGUUUCGAAACGCGUUGCUCGCGGGUGUAGUUUUGGUGGUUUCUUUUUAUAUUAUUCCAUUACUGGCUGCAACAGGAGCUUUAAAGUCUGACCCUAGUGAGUGGAGUGAUGGUUAUUUUGCAGAAGCUGGAAUGUUGAUUGGUGGCGUUUGGCUGAAAUGGUGGAUCCAGGCUGCAGCUGCAAUGUCUAAUAUGGGGCUGUUUGAAGCUGAAAUGAGUAGUGAUGCCUUCCAACUUCUUGGGAUGAGCGAAAUGGGAAUGCUUCCUUCUAUAUUUGCGUCAAGAUCAAAAUAUGGGACACCCACUAUCAGCAUCUUAUGCUCUGCAACGGGCGUGAUCAUUCUGUCAUGGAUGAGUUUUCAAGAAAUAUUGGAAUUUCUUAACUUCCUCUAUUCAGUAGGAAUGCUUCUCGAGUUUGCAGCCUUCAUAAAAUUAAGGAUAGUGAAGCCUGAUCUUCGCAGACCUUAUAAGGUCCCAUUUCAAAUAUUUGGAGCAACGGCGAUUUGCCUUCCACCUGCUUUGUUGCUUAUUUUUGUCAUGUAUCUGGCUUCAUUACAGACGUAUAUAGUAAGUGGCUCGGUCAUUAUUCUGGGAUUAUUCUUGUAUCCUGCCAUAGUUCAUGCAAAGGAGAAAAACUGGUGCCAUUUUAUUAGUACAGAUGAACCAUUAGGUCAUUCUAACGAUAUUCUUGAGGACCAAUCAGCAGCUACUGAACUUGAUCAGGUUGUUGCUGAUGAGGCAUCUCUUAGCCUACUCGGACACUCUAAGAAAGUAGAGGAUUCUGAAACCUUGUCACAAGAAAUGUCAGCAUUGGAUUAGAAGAUACUUUCAUAUUUUUUGUACAUUUUAUACCACAAGGAACGACAGCCUUGGUGCAACAGUAAGAGUUGUCGUUGGGUGACAAGGAGGUCAGGGGAGAUAUACAAGAAAGAUACAAAGAAGAGGAGCAUGCAUAGUCGAUUCCAAAAAUGAGUAUGUGGAGUUUUAAGAGAUAUUCAGCGUUCGUCAAAUACAAUUCCAAGAGAAAAUUGACUGACCAUACAAAGUGUAGAUAACGUCGUAAUCUUUGGGCCCAUACUCAACAGAACACUGAAUGACUGCAAAUUGUGAUAUGCAUGGCGCAUAACUCAGACUAUCUCAGAAUUUAGCUGUAAGAGAAGAUUGACUAAUUCAACUUUCAUUGUUCAUUGAAGCAAAUGUCAUAUAUCAGUAUCACUGAAACUGUGAUUUCAAACAACAAAGGAACGGA